AAAGCAUGGUUUGAAGACAGAACUUGAGAAGGUCUCCCCAUCACUGGGCCGGACUGCUAUUUACACAAGAGAGUCGAGAAUAAAUGAGUUGCCUAGGCAAGAGCAUAAUUCUCAUUCAUCAUUUUCCUCAUC